rnacentral:snRNA from 1 species
AUGGUUUGGUUAAAUAAAAAAUAAAUAAAAAUCUGUUCUUAUCAGUUUAAUAUCUGAUACGUCCCCCAUCGGGGGACUACAUAUUAAAUGGAUUUUUCGAACAGGGAGUCGGAAAUGGGGCUUGCUCCGUCCGCUCCACGCAUCGACCCGGUAUUGCAGUACCUCCGGGAACGGUGCAACACUU